AACGAACGCUGGCGGCAUGCCUAACACAUGCAAGUCGAACGAAACCUUCGGGUCUAGUGGCGCACGGGUGCGUAACGCGUGGGAACCUGCCCUUAGGUUCGGAAUAACUCCCCGAAAGGUGUGCUAAUACCGGAUAAGGUCUUCGGGGCAAAGAUUUAUCGCCGUUGGAUGGGCCCGCGUUGGAUUAGCUAGUUGGUAGGGUAAAAGCCUACCAAGGCGACGAUCCAUAGCUGGUCUGAGAGGAUGACCAGCCACACUGGGACUGAGACACGGCCCAGACUCCUACGGGAGGCAGCAGUGGGGAAUAUUGGGCAAUGGGCGAAAGCCUGAUCCAGCCAUGCCGCGUGAGUGAUGAAGGCCUUAGGGUUGUAAAGCUCUUUUACCCGGGAUGAUAAUGACGGUACCGGGAGAAUAAGCACCGGCUAACUCCGUG
rnacentral:rRNA from 1 species